rnacentral:lncRNA from 1 species
UAACGCCGCGCCUGUCCACGCGGUAUCGCUUACUGUUAUAGUAUAGUUUCAUUCUUCCCAGUGCGUAUUCUCUAUUACGUGACAAAAGGUGAGACUUCGCCUGCUUAGAUAAUGUCGCCUUGGCGCGACUUGACCGCACACCGACAACGUUGCGUGUACACCUAAAGAACCUGGUUGACCGGAAGAAACCCCUCAAAAAUAAAGUUAUAUUGUAAUCAGUGCGUGUUCCCGACCUAGGCUGCAGCUUCGUACGCCGCCUCGCUUUCCUCGUGCUGAUAGCGCGCGUUAUGAAACGCGAGCCGGUAUCAAACAGCUGAUUUCACGUCCCACGAUAUCGAAUACUCAAUGAAACGCUCCUUGAAGAACAUAAACAAGCUCGGCCUGCUCGCGCUCACACCACAACUAGGCUGCUGCUCGGCGCGGCGGCCCGCUCGUUGCUGAUACAGCAAUUCGGGGCGUGCUUGUAGAGCAGAUACCGGCCAUUCUCCAAAAAGGAUGCCACCAGAAAAAUACCGAGAGGAAUCAUAUAAUUUUAUUUUAGGUAGAAGAUGUAUAACACUUUACUAAUAAAUAAAAGCCUGGAUUUUUCUUAAUGAUUUAUAUCGAAAAUAAGUUUAAGUCAGUGUGUGGUUUUAUGAUCAACAAAUCUUUGUUGAUCAUAAAAUCAAAGUAAUUUAUCAUAACAUGUAAUAUACUUAUCAAACAUACAAAUUAUUUCGAAUAGCUUAACAAAAUGAGGAUGUGGGUGAAAAACAUACACAGGGAUUGUGGUAGGAACGAAUUUGUUUUAAAACAUUAAUAAGGAUUAAUCAUUUAUUUGUGAUAUGUCUUUAUAUAAAAUGGUAUUUCUAUAUCUGUGGCAAUGAUGUAUACUCAUGUAGACCUUGCUGUGCAGGCCCUUUAGUUCAGACCCACCACUACAGAUAAUAUUCCCUGUGUCACCACAAGCCAAGCUUACGCCGAGGCGAACCAUGCCAGCGAGCAACGUGAUUUAAUGAAUCACAAAGUAUUCUGCACGAUGAAGCGACAUUUUUUUGGAAAUGAUACACUGUCAGCUUCUCUAUCGCCACCUCCCAGUUGUUGCCCUACUGCAUACUAAUGCUUUACCUAACUACCUUUAAAACUAGGUGCGCAAGAGUACGACUCUAUUUCAUCAAUUGAUGUAAGAAGUAAAAGUCUUGUACACGUUUUGUACAUUUUUGAGUGCAAUAAAGUUAGAAAUUAAGAGAUUUUAUGUUAGAGAUUAGAUUAAUGUAAGAAGUCAAAAUUGAGACAUUUUGGAAAAUCAGGUUUGAAUAGAAUAGAAUCUUUAUUUGUGAUUGUAAAGUACUUAAAACUACU